GAGCGCGUUGGUGUGACAGUAGAGGAGGCGCGCGGGCUGGAGGAGAGGCAGAGGCUGGAGGAGCGAGGAUGGAGCCGGACCACCGGGCAGCCGCGGGGAGCCCGACUCCUCCACGGGGGCCCGAAGUCAACGCAGACUAAAAGAAUCCAUCUGGAAAAAAUCCUCCUCGGGCUGAAGUUGGGGACACGUGUCGUCCAGGGCGCGAUUUGUCCUCGAACAGCGAUCACGGCAUCGUCAUGUACAGUCGGAAGAAGUGUGAAGGGAGGUCUGUUUUUGUCUUUGGUUAUCUAGCUGUAUGAGUGUUAAAUACCUGUCAUAAAGCUAGAUAACCGAAAGUAGAAAUGACUUCCGUAUAACGCUGUGUGAAAGAGAGAGAGAGAGAGAGAGAGAGGGGGGGGGGGAGGUGGAGAGAGAAAGAGGGGACCCCACAGGCUUCAAACUCACCCAGUUGGAUUUUCACUUUCACCGCAAAAAGAAAAAAAGGUUUCCUAACAACGAAGGAAGGGGCUUUCCUAAAAAAAAAAGGGAAGGGAAGAACCAUCGUUAGAGAGAGAGAGGGGGAAACUCGGUCAGUCCAGAAUUGCCACCUCCUCCCUCCCCAUGUCCCCCGUCGUCCCUUUUGCCCCACAGCCUCUAAUGCCAUCUGCACUGCCAACGGGGGGAACACUUUGCCCGUGCCAAGAGGCGGAGAGAGACCCGGCCGGAUCCCUGGAGUAUGGGCGCGCUCACAGGAGCCAUCUUGGGAGAUGUUGUUUGCCGCGACACCUAAAAUGGCUGGGCUGGCAUACUAGGACGGGACAGCACCAGUGAGACUCUUGGCACUCGACAGGAAACAAGAUCAAGAAGAUCAGAACAAAAACUACAGCAGUCAUCAUAUUGUUGAGACUCUCACCAGAGAAGGAACUCCAGAGAUUAUUUUGUCAACUAAUGAGGAGCAAGAGGAGUGCUGUGUAGAAACAAAAGAUAUACUGUAUGUCGGGUGUAAAUCUGAAACGUGCCUGUUAUCUUUGGAAAUACUAAGUUGAUUUCAAGAUGCUGUAUGAAUGAAGUGUGUUUAGUAAUCACGCAACUAUGCAUUCAAAAAAAUUGUUUCCACCUAAUACAAACUCAAUGCCUAAUGUCUUUGUAGCAAAUGCAUUUUUUCAUCAUUGAACUAUUUUUUUUUUCUCAUACUUUAAGUGAAGUGUUAGUUAUUGACAUGAUAUGAAUUCAUCAGAGCAAAUUGUUUCGAAUUUAAUGAUGUAGACGACACUUCUUUUAAAUAAAAAUUAUGAAAACCUUA